CAGCUCGGGCGCUCCGCACCCAAUCACCGGUGUCUCGCGGCUCUCGCCCCACCCCAGCCACCAAACGAGGAACCCUAGCCUCCUUUCUCCAUCCCCUCGACCCCCACGAGCCGCUGCACCCCUCCCUCUCCCUUCCGUGCGUGCGCUCGGCCAAGGAUGCCGCCGUCGCCCUCGGCUCCUCCUCCACCAACUCGCCUUCCCAUCGCUCGCGCGCAUGUUGCCGCCGUCGGAGAACAGGCCAGUGCGGGUCGCUUCCUCCUUUUCCUCCCGCCGGAUCUAAGGCGCGCGGCCGUGGAGGCGAGCCUCUCCGGUGGCGGCGGCAAAGGGUGACCACAUGGAUCGGUCCCUGCAGGAGAGAGAAGAUGGAAGAGAGGGAGAGCAGGAAGGAGAGUAGGGAGGCCCAGUGGCGGACGGGAGAGGGUUACCGACCGGCGCCGGCGAGGUCAGGUGCGACCUGGUGGUUGGUGGCGGCUCGAUCCACUCCUGGAUCCUUCUUCUUCCACUUCCCCACUGCCUAACACCGAGGAAGAGGGCUGGCUAAGGAAGAGGGCGAGGACGCGGGGAUUGAAGAGGGUGUUCCUGCGUUCAUUGCCUGGCCAAGGACGAGGACGACGACGUGGGGUGGAGCAUGUCAUCCCUCUGGUUAUCACCUUCCUUUCUGCUACUGGGCUGAGAUGAGGGUUUUCUCCACCAAUUGUGGUGGCCUGAGUCAGAGAUCGACAGCCAGAUGCUUGUGGCUACCACACAAAACGUGCUCUCUUGCUGACCUCGAGGUCCAGAUGCAAUGGAUUGUCUCCAAGGUGUUUCUCCGACCAGCAACAACAAAACUCCACACUUUCUCAAUUGUGUUGUGAUUGGUUCAUGUCCACCAAGGCCGUUGCGUUGGUCGCGGUACUCGGCUUCCUUUGGGUUUGCUUGCUGUCGAUGAAGAAGAAAGGUGUGAACCAUGUGAAAAUGGACAAACCCACAGUCCUAGAUGGUAAUGAAAAAACUGACACCAACUAGCUCACUCUAUAAAUUUUGUCUAGGCUCAAGCUAACUACGUAUCUGCACCACAAUUGCUCGCUGGGGAUAUAGAUGUAUGCCUAACAUCAGGUUAUUACCACACCAUAGUAGCUGCUCGCUGGGAAUAUAGAUAUAUAUUUCAUUUUGCAGGUUAUGUGCCAAAACAUGAUGUAUAGAACCAUACUUUGUGCUGUCUUGAUUUUAAUACUUAUGUAUGAACUCCUUAUUCUAGCCUUUUCAUCAGGAUUAAUGAGCAGUGGUGAUGCAUCACUUCCCUAACAACCUACAACUAGCAAAACUGAGGUUAUGAAACAUCAUUGUCAAUUGUCUUCUUUAUAAAUGUAACCCUGUCCUAAAAGUACUCUUGCACGGCAGAAUUAUCUUCUUACAUGUUUGGUCACAAUAUAGCUUUCCUGAAAUCUAUUUUGCUUUCAGUUUGAAUUUGUCAUGACCUGGAUAGAUAUACUCUAGACCUUGAUAUAUGACUACGUAAUUGAAGAAGUGGACAUCUUGGUCAUUGCAAAUUUUCUCUGUUCAUUUUUAAAAGAGCGGAUUACAAUUCUCCAGGAGCAACGCUGCUGUGGUAGCUAUCCAUCCAUCUUGCUUUUUAGAAAACUUGCGACCACAAAGGCCGAAGUCGCCACCCUGUAAUGUCGCGCUGAUGGUAGCCCAUACUGCUUUGCGAUGAAUAAUAUCAUAACAGCUAAUGUUUGAAUUUUCCAUAUUGCUUCAGCUAACCUGUGAAUAGGUCUGCACUCUGCGCAUACAUAUUUGUUCAAUUCCUUAUUUCUAUAAGGUUUAUGUAAUUAUGUUUAUGUUAGAAGGUUUAGAUGCCAUACUUUGCAUGGACUGUUACUAAGAGAAAUUUAUGUUGUUCUUAGGUACCAAUCAGGUUAUUGAUGCCGCCGGAUAGCUGUCGUUGGCUAUAAUGUGAUUAGGUACCAAUCUUGUUAUUAAAGUUGUUACGGUAUAUGAUGCGGCUACAUAAUUAUACUCUUAUAUGGUCAGCCAAGUGUUCUUCUGGAUAUACCUUUGUGCAAUGUAUAACUGAAGUACGAUCAUUUCCUUCAAUACACUAAGCAUACUAUUAAAAUUUUGUGUGUCAGGCCUUAAGAGUAGAUUGCCUUUUCUGUACUUUUGUGUUGCUUCAUCCAUUCAUUAUUUAUUAACAUGUUUACACUUCAUUGUUAAUGUAUGGUUGUUUACCUUUUGGUGUCGACUUUCGACUUACUGAUUUGUGCAAUCAAAUAUAGAAAAGGAUCUUGUUUUGGACACGACAGCCUUGCUGAUGGCAUGCUUGAGUUACCUCGCACCAUCAUUUGGCCUUUCAAGCACUUGAUUUGCAUUUUUUUGAUGUAAUCAAAUAGUGUCCCUGCAUCUUAACAAGCCACCCAUUUAUCAUGUGUAAUGUGUCAUUCUUUCCUUUUCUUUUCCUGGAGUUUUUUCGCUAAACAUCAAUGCACUUAUGGAUAGUACAUUGACGCUGAUGAUUCUAUCUUCUUUAUUUGAGAAUAUGAUAUUGUACAUGUAUUGUAGAUUGGAUUACAAAAUAGUGGUUGUAGUUCUUAUGAUUUGCAGUAGCUUAGGUAUGGUGUUGUGGCUUUAGCACAUAACAUGGAUCGGUUUUAAUAUCCUGUUCGUGCUCGUCUUCGCAUUUUAUAGGCAGGUUGUCUGGGAUAAUUUAUACUUUUGCUAAAUUACUGCUAAAGUGGUUUUGUUGAGAGUUGAAACUACACCAAUGUUUUGCUUUCUGCUAAAGUCAAAGAUAUUGUAUCCUUGAAUGUUUUUCAAUUACCAACACAUGCCAAAUUCUGCAUAUUCGUUAAUGAUUUCAAUGCCUUCUGUCAGUUUUGCACUAUGGAAGUCAUUGUUUGCUAUAUAUUAAUAUUGGCUAAUUGGGUUUAGAAAGCACUGUAUAUUUUUGAUAUGCUCUGAGUUGAACAUGUUUCGGUAUGCAGUGUACAUGGUACAGGCAGGUAAGAAAACAACCUUAUUUUAGGCUCAGGCCUGACUAGCGAUUAAGUCAUUAAAUUUUUGUGGGCAGGUAAAAGAGCAGCCCUAUUUUCGGUAUGCUUGACUUUCAGUAUUUUUGGUCACAGAUUUGUUGAUCUUCUGUACUGCCUCUAUCAAAAUAUUUGUACAAAUCCAGACUACAAAACGUCUUAUAUUUUGAUAGAGUGAGGACUACAGAUGGUGUUGGUGGUAACCUGGGGAAGACUUAUCGACGUGGAUACAGCCACAUUCCUUGACCGAAAUGAUCCAAACUAUGAUAGUAACAAGAUAGUUUGGUGCUCUCAUGGUUAUUUUGUAGAGAUUGUCCUUCUGUUCAUUAUUUGGCAAUCAUCUACUGCAGCUCAGCUACUGUCCAGCUGCUUCCCUUAUGGCCUUUCAUUCUCACUGUGAUCCCCUGAGAUGCCUUGUGUAUUUGCUUUAUCCUCUACUUCUGAUAAUGCAAGACAGAUCAAACCAACGCAGCAAGACGAAACUGAAAUGGGGAUCUCGGACAAGUGCAAGGAGGGAAGCUGUCGUAAGAUAGAUAAUAAACUUGCCUCCGCUCUGACAAGAGCAUGUUCGUUCAGACCUUUUCUUACUAAAAGCUAUUUAUCUAUAGCAAGUAUUUCCAUUAGAACUAUCAAAUUCAAACUCCUAGAUGUCUAUGUCAGCAUGUAGAACUUUGUCCAGGCAAAGAUAUCCCCUCUGAUCUUUUUGUGAAUCCUUCCACACUUCUUUGUAAAGUGUUACUGAUUUUAAUAAAAUCUCUCUAUUAAAAAGACAAUAUAAUUCAAGCUACUAGAGUAGCUUGUUCAUUCA